rnacentral:rRNA from 1 species
UACAGAGGGUGCGAGCGUUAAUCGGAAUUACUGGGCGUAAAGCGUGCGUAGACGGUUAUGUAAGUCGGAUGUGAAAGCCCCGGGCUCAACCUGGGAAUUGCAUUCGAGACUGCAUAGCUAGGAUGCGGAAGAGGGAAGUGGAAUUUCCGGUGUAGCGGUGAAAUGCGUAGAUAUCGGAAGGAACAUCAGUGGCGAAAGCGACUUCCUGGUCCAGCAUCGACGUUCAGGCACGAAAGCGUGGGGGAGCAAACAGG